rnacentral:rRNA from 1 species
UAUCCAUGAGCAGGUUGAAGCAAGGGUAAGACCUUGUGGAGGACCGAACCCAUAUCUGUUGAAAAAGGUUGGGAUGACUUGUGGAUAGCGGAGAAAUUCCAAUCGAACCUGGAGAUAGCUGGUUCUCCCCGAAAUAGCUUUAGGGCUAGCCUUGAUGAAGAGUGAAACGGAGGUAGAGCACUGACUGUCCUAGGGGCUUUCACCGGCUACCGAAGACUAUCAAACUCCGAAUGCCGUCUUCAUACCAUCAGGAGUCAGACUAUGUGUGAUAAGAUUCAUAGUCGAGAGGGAAACAACCCAGAUCAUCAGCUAAGGUCCCAAAGUGUGAAUUAAGUGGGAAAGGAUGUGGGAUUGCAGAGACAACUAGGAUGUUGGCUUAGAAGCAGCCAUUCAUUCAAAGAGUGCGUAAUAGCUCACUAGUCGAGUGAUCCCGCGCCGAAAAUUACCGGGGCUAAAAUUCACCACCGAAGCUAUGGCAACGAAAGUUGGGUAGGGGAGCAUUGUAUACGGGCAGAAGCGGUAUCGCGAGGCGUCGUGGACUGUAUACAAGAGAGAAUGUUGGCAUGAGUAACGAGAGGCGGGUGAGAAUCCCGCCGGCCGAAAACCUAAGGUUUCCUGAGGAAGGUUCGUCCGCUCAGGGUAAGUCAGGACCUAAGCCGAGGACGAAAGUCGUAGGCGAUGGACAACAGGUUAAGAUUCCUGUACCGAUCUAUAUUGUUUGAGAGAGGGAAUGACACAGGAGGAUAGGCGCGCGUGCUAAUGGAUGCACGUAUAAGCAGUGAGUAGGGAAAGGUAGGCAAAUCCGCUUUUCUAUUAACUAUAAGCUGUGAUAUGGAGGGAAAAACAAGUACCGAAGGCGCUGAUUUCACACUGUCGAGAAAAGUUUCUAUUGAGAUAUAGAUUGCCUGUACCGCAAACCGACACAGGUAGGUAAGUAGAGAAUACUAAGGCACGCGAGAAAACUAUUGUUAAGGAACUCGGCAAAAUGACCCCGUAACUUCGGGAGAAGGGGUGCCAAGAUAGGUUCAGAGCUAAUCUUGGCCGCAGAGUCUAGGUCCAAGCAACUGUUUACCAAAAACACAGGUCUCUGCUAAAUCGAAAGAUGACGUAUAGGGGCUGACGCCUGCCCGGUGCUGGAAGGUUAAGGGGAAUACUUAGCGUAAGCGAAGGUAUGAACCGAAGCCCCAGUAAACGGCGGCCGUAACUAUAACGGUCCUAAGGUAGCGAAAUUCCUUGUCGGGUAAGUUCCGACCCGCACGAAAGGCGUAAUG